rnacentral:rRNA from 1 species
GACAGAGGGUGCGAACGUUGUUCGGAAUUACUGGGCGUAAAGCGCAUGUAGGCGGCAGCGCAAGUCGGGCGUGAAAUCCCACGGCUCAACCGUGGAAGUGCACUCGAAACUGCGCAGCUAGAGUCCUGGAGAGGAAGGUGGAAUGCUUGGUGUAGAGGUGAAAUUCGUAGAUAUCAAGCGGAACACCGGUGGCGAAGGCAGCACUCUGGGACGUGACUGACGCUGAGACGCGAAAGCGUGGGGAGCAAACAGGG